AUGGUUGUGGCAGAGGCCUCUUGUCCAGGAGAAGAAAAAACCAGUGACUUACUUCUAAUGAAUAGAAAACAGCAAGAGUGGUGGGAUAUCACUUUCAAAGCUGCCACCGUGAUUGGAGGCUUAUUCAUCUAUAAUCACAAGGGGGAGGUGCUCAUCUCCCGGGUCUACCGAGAUGACAUCGGGAGGAAUGCAGUGGAUGCCUUUCGGGUCAAUGUUAUCUACGCCCGGCAGCAGGUUCGCAGCCCCGUCACCAACAUCGCUCGCACCAGUUUCUUCCAUGUCAAGCGGUCCAACAUCUGGUUGGCAGCUGUCACCAAGCAGAAUGUCAAUGCUGCCAUGGUCUUCGAAUUCCUCUAUAAGAUGUGUGACGUAAUGGUUGCCUACUUCGGCAAGAUCAGCGAGGAGAACAUCAAGAACAAUUUUGUGCUCAUAAAUGAGCUGCUGGAUGAGAUCCUGGACUUUGGCUAUCCACAGCUUUCAGAGACAGGAGCACUGAAAACCUUCAUUACUCAGCAGGGUAUCAAGAGCCAGCAUCAGACAAAAGAAGAGCAAUCCCAGAUCACCAGCCAGGUGACCGGGCAGAUUGGCUGGAGGCGGGAGGGCAUCAGGUAUCGCCGGAAUGAGCUCUUCUUGGAUGUGCUGGAGAGUGUGAACCUCCUCAUGUCCCCCCAGGGGCAGGUGCUGAGCGCCCAUGUGUCAGGCCGGGUGGUGAUGAAGAACUACCUGAGUGGCAUGCCUGAGUGCAAGUUUGGGAUGAAUGACAAGAUUGUCAUUGAGAAGCAAGGCAAAGGCACAGCUGAUGAAACAAGCAAGAGUGGGAAGCAAUCGAUUGCCAUCGAUGACUGCACCUUCCACCAGUGUGUGCGACUCAGCAAGUUUGACUCUGAACACAGCAUCAGAUUCAUCCCACCAGAUGGAGAGUUUGAGCUAAUGAGGUAUUGUACCACCAAGGACAUCAUCCUUCCUUUCCAGGUGAUCCCACUAGUGCGAGAAGUGGGACGCACCAAGCUGGAGGUUAAGGUGGUUAUCAAGUCCAAUUUCAAGCCCUCAUUACUGGCUCAGAAGAUUGAGGUGAGGAUCCCAACCCCACUGAACACAAGCGGGGUACAGGUGAUCGGCAUGAAGGGGAAGGCCAAGUACAAGGCCAGCGAGAACGCCAUCGUGUGGAAGAUCAAGCGCAUGGCAGGUAUGAAGUAAUCGCAAAUCAGCGCAGAGAUUGAACUUCUGCCCACCAAUGACAAGAAGAAAUGGGCUCGACCCCCCAUUUCCAUGAACUUUGAGGUGCCAUUCGCACCCUCUGGACUCAAAGUGCGCUACUUGAAGGUGUUUGAACCGAAGCUGAACUACAGCGACCACGAUGUCAUCAAAUGGGUGCGCUAUUUUGGCCGCAGCGGCAUUUAUGAGACCCGCUGCUAGCUGCCUAGUAGCAGCUAGCCUGUCUCCCCACCCGCCCUUUUCCACAGGUCUGGGUGCCCUGGGCCACCACACUUCAGUGUCUCCUCCCUCCUGCU